CAGCCGCCGCGGUAAUACGUAGGUGGCAAGCGUUGUCCGGAAUUAUUGGGCGUAAAGGGCUCGCAGGCGGUUUCUUAAGUCUGAUGUGAAAGCCCCCGGCUCAACCGGGGAGGGUCAUUGGAAACUGGGAAACUUGAGUGCAGAAGGGGAGAGUGGAAUUCCACGUGUAGCGGUGAAAUGCGUAGAGAUGUGGAGGAACACCAGUGGCGAAGGCGACUCUCUGGUCUGUAACUGACGCUGAGGAGCGAAAGCGUGGGGAGCGAACAGGAUUAGAUACCCCCGUAGUCCCUGUCUCUUAUAA
rnacentral:rRNA from 1 species